UACGGAGGGUGCAAGCGUUAAUCGGAAUCACUGGGCGUAAAGCGCUCGUAGGCGGUUUGGUCAGUCAGACGUGAAAGCCCGCAGCUCAACUGCGGAACUGCGUUUGAUACUGCCAGACUUGAGUGUCGGAGAGGGUGGCGGAAUUCCGGGUGUAGGAGUGAAAUCCGUAGAUAUCCGGAGGAACACCAGUGGCGAAGGCGGCCACCUGGACGACAACUGACGCUGAGGAGCGAAAGCGUGGGUAGCAAACAGGAUUAGAUACCCUUGUAGU
rnacentral:rRNA from 1 species